UCGAUGAUCACUUUACACACUCAUACAACCUUAUUAGAUUGUAUAUAAACAGUCAGCAUACAUUGAUUAUAGAUUAUAAAUCUCAACAUUAUCUAUUAGACUUGAUGCAUCGUCGCUUCACACCGUUACUUAACCGAUACAAGACUAUAUAACAAGUAAAUACAAUGUCUUCAUACACCAUUGUAACUGAUGAAGGCUCAUCAAACGAAGAUCAGGAAAGUUCAUAUUCAGUAAAACCAGUUACACCAAAAACGAG